UACGAAGGGGGCUAGCGUUGCUCGGAAUCACUGGGCGUAAAGCGCACGUAGGCGGCUUCUUAAGUCAGGGGUGAAAUCCUGGAGCUCAACUCCAGAACUGCCUUUGAUACUGAGAAGCUUGAGUCCGGGAGAGGUGAGUGGAACUGCGAGUGUAGAGGUGAAAUUCGUAGAUAUUCGCAAGAACACCAGUGGCGAAGGCGGCUCACUGGCCCGUUACCGACGCUCAGGCGCGACAGCGUGGGGAGCAAACAGG
rnacentral:rRNA from 1 species